rnacentral:rRNA from 1 species
GACGAACGCUGGCGGCGUGCUUAACACAUGCAAGUCGAACGGAAAGGCCCUGCUUUUGUGGGGUGCUCGAGUGGCGAACGGGUGAGUAACACGUGAGUAACCUGCCCUUGACUUUGGGAUAACUUCAGGAAACUGGGGCUAAUACCGGAUAGGAGCUCCUGCUGCAUGGUGGGGGUUGGAAAGUUUCGGCGGUUGGGGAUGGACUCGCGGCUUAUCAGCUUGUUGGUGGGGUAGUGGCUUACCAAGGCUUUGACGGGUAGCCGGCCUGAGAGGGGGACCGGCCACAUUGGGACGGAGAUACGGCCCAGACUCCUACGGGAGGCAGCAGUGGGGAAUAUUGCACAAUGGGCGGAAGCCUGAUGCAGCAACGCCGCGUGCGGGAUGACGGCCUUCGGGUUGUAAACCGCUUUCGCCUGUGACGAAGCGUGAGUGACGGUAAUGGGUAAAGAAGCACCGGCUAACUACGUG